GUAUGCAAUCCACCUGUAACAGGGGGAUAACCCGGAGAAAUCCGGACUAAUACCCCAUAAUAUGGGCGCUCCGCAUGGAGAGCCCAUUAAAGAGAGCAAUUUUGGUUACAGACGAGCAUGCGCUCCAUUAGCCAGUUGGCGGGGUAACGGCCCACCAAGGCGACGAUGGAUAGGGGUUCUGAGAGGAAGGUCCCCCACAUUGGAACUGAGACACGGUCCAAACUCCUACGGGAGGCAGCAGUGAGGAAUAUUGGUCAAUGGUCGGCAGACUGAACCAGCCAAGUCGCGUGAGGGAAGACGGCCCUACGGGUUGUAAACCUCUUUUGUCGGAGAGUAAAGUACGCUACGCGUAGCGUAUUGCAAGUAUCCGAAGAAAAAGCAUCGGCUAACUCCGUGCCAGCAGCCGCGGUAAUACGGAGGAUGCGAGCGUUAUCCGGAUUUAUUGGGUUUAAAGGGUGCGUAGGCGGCACGCCAAGUCAGCGGUGAAAUUUCCGGGCUCAACCCGGAGUGUGCCGUUGAAACUGGCGAGCUAGAGUGCACAAGAGGCAGGCGGAAUGCGUGGUGUAGCGGUGAAAUGCAUAGAUAUCACGCAGAACCCCGAUUGCGAAGGCAGCCUGCUAGGGUGCGACAGACGCUGAGGCACGAAAGCGUGGGUAUCGAACAGGAUUAGAUACCCUGGUAGUCCACGCAGUAAACGAUGAAUACUAACUGUUUGCGAUACAAUGUAAGCGGUACAGCGAAAGCGUUAAGUAUUCCACCUGGGGAGUACGCCGGCA
rnacentral:rRNA from 1 species